AGUGAACGCUGGCGGUAGGCCUAACACAUGCAAGUCGAACGGCAGCACAGUAAGAGCUUGCUCUUACGGGUGGCGAGUGGCGGACGGGUGAGGAAUACAUCGGAAUCUACUUUUUCGUGGGGGAUAACGUAGGGAAACUUACGCUAAUACCGCAUACGACCUACGGGUGAAAGCAGGGGAUCUUCGGACCUUGCGCGAUUGAAUGAGCCGAUGUCGGAUUAGCUAGUUGGCGGGGUAAAGGCACACCAAGGCGACGAUCCGUAGCUGGUCUGAGAGGAUGAUCGGCCACACUGGAACUGAGACACGGUCCAGACUCCUACGGGAGGCAGCAGUGGUGAAUAUUGGACAAUGGGCGCAAGCCUGAUCCAGCCAUACCGCGUGGGUGAAGAAGGCCUUCGGGUUGUAAAGCCCUUUUGUUGGGAAAGAAAAGCGGCAGGUUAAUACCCCGCUGUUCUGACGGUACCCAAAGAAUAAGCACCGGCUAACUUCGUG
rnacentral:rRNA from 1 species